rnacentral:rRNA from 1 species
GAUGAACGCUGGCGGCGUGCCUAAUACAUGCAAGUCGGACGGAAGGACGAGUAGCUUUCUUCUCUGAUGUUAACGGCGGACGGGAGAGUAACAAGUGGAUAACCUGCCUAUAAGACUGGGAUAACAACGGGAACCCGUAGCUCAUACCGGAUAAUAUUUUAAACGGCGUGGUUCAAAAGUGAAAGACGGUCUUGCUGUCUCUUAUAGAUGGAUCCGCGCUGCAUUAGCUAGUUGGUAAGGUAACGGCUUACCAAGGCAACGAUGCAUAGCCGACCUGAGAGGGUGAUCGGCCACACUGGAACUGAGACACGGUCCAGACUCCUACGGGAGGCAGCAGUAGGGAAUCUUCGGCAAUGGGCGAAAGCCUGACGGAGCAACGCCGCGUGAGUGAUGAAGGCCUUCGGAUCGUAAAACGCUGUUAGUAGGGAAGAACAGAUGUGUAAGUAUCUGUGCAGAUCUUGACGGUACCUAAAGAGAAAGCAACGGCUAACUACGUG